rnacentral:rRNA from 1 species
CCUACGGGAGGCAGCAGUGGGGAAUUUUGGACAAUGGGCGCAAGCCUGAUCCAGCCAUGCCGCGUGCAGGAUGAAGGCCUUCGGGUUGUAAACUGCUUUUGUACGGAACGAAAAGCCUCCUUCUAAUAAAGGGGGGUCAUGACGGUACCGUAAGAAUAAGCACCGGCUAACUACGUGCCAGCAGCCGCGGUAAUACGUAGGGUGCAAGCGUUAAUCGGAAUUACUGGGCGUAAAGCGUGCGCAGGCGGUUAUAUAAGACAGUUGUGAAAUCCCCGGGCUCAACCUGGGAACUGCAUCUGUGACUGUAUAGCUAGAGUACGGUAGAGGGGGAUGGAAUUCCGCGUGUAGCAGUGAAAUGCGUAGAUAUGCGGAGGAACACCGAUGGCGAAGGCAAUCCCCUGGACCUGUACUGACGCUCAUGCACGAAAGCGUGGGGAGCAAACAGGAUUAGAUACCCUGGUAGUCCACGCCCUAAACGAUGUCAACUGGUUGUUGGGUCUUCACUGACUCAGUAACGAAGCUAACGCGUGAAGUUGGCCGCCUGGGGAGUACGGCCGCAAGGUUGAAACUCAAAUGAAAUUGACGGCUGAGAGNGCGACGACGACGACGAGGGAGGAGG